GGGAGAUGGCUCAGUGGUUAAGAGCACUGACUGUUCUUCCAGAGGUCCUGAGUUCAAUUCCCACAUGGUGGCUCA
rnacentral:tRNA from 1 species